GCCUGGGUGUGGAUCCCAACAGUGGCCACAAGAAGGAGUGCCAGGGUGUAUCCUGGCUUGGGCAGGGGCCCCAGAAGUUAAGAGUAAUCGCUUUGGAGCCAGAAGUGAUGGAUUCAAGCUCCCAGCACUGCCACCAGCUAGCUAGGAAACCUGGCGGGGGCGAGGGGGUGUCCCAUAACUGCUGGCACCUCAAUUUUCUCAGCCGUAAGAUGGGGCCAUGGACGUGUUAAUAACUACCCUUUAUUGAGAACUCCACACUCCAUGUGCGGUGCUGUCAGAGGGAGGCAUCACUCAACCCAGAGCCUAUGCUCCUAAGGACCAGUGGAGACCAGCCUUGGAGGGCAUCUGCAGCCUGAAAGGGACAGCGGAGUCCAGAGCAGGAGGCAGGGUGACAGCCGCUUCUCCCCUCCCCGCUAAGUGACCAUGCAGACAGCACUGUGCCUUCACUUCCUCACCGCAGCCUGAGAAAAUUAAUACCCGUUCUGAAGAGUGGAAAGAAAAAUACAGAAAGAAAGAAAAAUGAACAGAAACUGAGGGAGCUGUGGAACACCAUCAACAAUACCAGCAUACAAACCACAGUAAUCCAGGUAGGAGAAUAGAGAGAAAAGGUGGCAGAAAAAAACAUUCAAAGAAAGAGUGGCCAAAUUUUUCUCAAAUGUGAUGAAAUGCAUCCAUAUACAUAUCCAACAAGCUCAAUAAACCCCAAGUAGGUUAAACUCAAAAUAUCCACAUCAAGACACAUUACAACCAAACUACUGAAACACAAAGGCAAAGAGAACUUUGAAAACAGCAAGGGAAAAGCUAUUUGGGUCACAUAUAAGAGAUCUUCAAUAAGAUUAAUAGCUGAUUUCUCAUCAGAAAUUAUGGAGGCCAGAAGGCAGUGGGAUGAUAUUUAACAUGCUGAAAGAAACUGUCAACCAAGAGUUCUGUAUCCAGCAAAACUAUCUUUCAGCCUGGCCAACAUGGUGAAACCCCAUCUCUACUAAAAAAUACAAAAAUUACUUGGGUGUGGUUGUGCACACCUGUAAUCACAGCCACUCUGGAGGCUGAGGCACAAGAAGCACUUGAACCCAGGAGGUGAAGGUUGCAGUGAGAUGAGAUCAUGCCACUGCACUCCAGCCUGGGCAACAGAGUGAGAUUCUGUCUAAAAAAAAAAAAGAAGAAUGAAUGAAUGAAGGGAAAAUUAAGACAUUUCCAUAUAAACAAAACCUGAGGAAGUUCAUUACCAGUGGAUCUUCCCUACAAGAAUUACCAAAAUAAGUCCUUCAGUCUGAAACAAAAGGACACUAGCUAUUAACUCAAAGCCAUAAGAAGAAAUAAAGAACACUGGUAAAGGCAACUACAUAGCUGGCAUUGCUCUGUAAAGACAAACUUUCCCUCCUCAACUGGGGAUAUUUGGCCACACUCAAAUGCUCUUCCUAGAGCAAAAGCAGGAUAAACGUUCAAAGACAUUCAUCGCCACAGAAAAUCCAGAACCAGAAGUUGAACACCAGCAGUGGGCAGCAAAGCCACUAUUACGAAAAAAAUGACUCAAUAUUCCAACAUACUAAGGAUACCUUGCUAUGCCCAGAUGGGGCCUGCAACGACCUUCCCAGUCCUGUCAGUACCAGCUAAUUGACGCAAGGUUAGGGAGGGGCCUUUUUACAAGAAGAAGGCCAGAAUCUGAGUUCAGGCAUAUUCCACCUAUUUAACAGACUGAGGGAGUUGAGGCAGAUACCAAAUCCUAAGGGAAAGGGGCGUGAUCUUUCUGUUUCUCCCUCCUCUCUUUCCAGAAUCCAAAUGCCCUUCCUAUUUUAAAGGAACAUACCUUAUGAAAUCUCAGAAGAGUCUUGGCUCCAUCCACCUUUGCAAGAUGCCAGCCUUUUGCUGGGUUACUUCAUACUCUUCUGAUCCAUUCCCCAUAUGGUUAAGUUUACCACUGCCAGAUUCUAUUGUAUGAAACCAGAGUCCAGACUGAAUUAGGACCUCUAAAAUCUAAAUCCUCCUAAAGGAAAGAAAUGUCUGAUGUUGUGAGCCAGACUUGGUCACCGGCAAGUGAGUCUGAGGGUGGGAGAGGAGUGAUAGUUCUUGCCCUGCUGGCUCUCCUAGUCAAGCCCCUCCCAUGCCAGUCACCAUGGCGAUAAGAGCCACCCCUCCCCACCCCUCCGCCCAUGGUGGGAUCCUCUGACACAGUUGGGCCCAUUGCCUAUGAAACAAUGGCAGCUGCUCGCAGGAUGGCAGCCCAAGGAAGGCCAGUGGAGGGUAGCCCAGGGCAGCACCAAUGACAAAUGGAGAGCAGCUGCCUGCACAGAACCAUGAGUGUGGGGCUUUCAUGGAGAACCCCGGGAGGAGGAAAUGAUGGCCCAGAGGCUGUGGCAUUUGAAGACUGAACUACAAGACAGUGUGCCAUCAGAGCUAAAGGGAAUGGCUCUGAAGCCAGACUUCCUGGGGUUUCCUGUUGGCACGGCCACCUACGGUUAUGUCCCCUUGAACAAGUUACUUCUAUCCUCUGUGUCUUGGUUUCCUCAUCUGUAAAAUGGCAUAAGAAUAAGUGCACCUACCACAAAGUGUUGUUGUAAGGAUUAAAUCAGUUAAUUCUUAGACUUGCACCGUGCAUAUAGCAAGUACUCAAUAAAUGUUGUCAUAGUGAUUGACUAAUGCACUGUUUUAGUGUCUAUUGCUCCAUGGAGGAAAACAGGAGGGGGUAGAGCUGUCCAAUCAGGGAAAGCCCACUAGACAUGUCAGAGUGACCUCAUUUGAGCCCACAGGCUGGUGAAGUUUAAGGACAUUCAGAAUCCCUAAAAACCCAAUGGCUGGUUGUAAGCCCUAAUGCAAUAUUGGAUCCAGAGCAAAUGGAACUCUCAGGCACUGGGAUGGGAAUGUCACUUGCUUGGUGGCAUUUAACUAGUGCUAAACAUUUGUUCCUCAAGAACCUAACUAUUCUAUUCCUAGUUAUAUACCUAAUAGAAAUGCAUGCAUGUGGUCACCAAAAGACAUAUGUAAGAGUGUUCAUAGUACAUUAUGCAUGAUGGCUGGAAACUACCCAGAUGCCCAGCAAGGGUAGAAUGGUAAAUGGUGGCCAGGCACGGUGGCUCAUACCUGUAAUCCCAGCACUUUGGGAGGCCGAGGUGCGCAGAUCACUUGAGGUCAGGAGUUCGAGACCAGCCUGCCCAACAUGGUGAAACCCCCGUCUCUACUAAAAAUAAAAAUAAAUAAAAAAUAAAAAGCCUAGCUGGGUGUGGUGGUGCGUGCCUGUAAUCCCAGCUACUUGGGCAGCUGAAGCACGACAAUCACUUGAACCCAGGA
rnacentral:lncRNA from 10 species